rnacentral:snoRNA from 1 species
AUGCAUCUCUGACAGAACUGGAGCAGUUAAUGUCUGCUGCUAAGGUUUCCACUAUAGAUGCAAGAAAAAGAAGGUCCUUGUACUUUCUGUCUGUCUGGUUGUGGCAGCCAAGAUUGAAUGGAAUAUAGGA